rnacentral:rRNA from 1 species
CAAUAGCGUAUAUUAAAGUUGUUGCAGUUAAAAAGCUCGUAGUUGGAUUUCUGGUGGGAGCGAUCGGUCUGGCGCUUAGCGCGAGUACUUGCAUCGUCUCCGGCCAUCCUUGGGGAGAGUCUGUCUGGCAUUAGGUUGUCGGGCAGAGGAUCCUCAUCGUUUACUGUGAAAAAAUUAGAGUGUUCAGAGCAGGCUUAUGCCGUUGAAUAUAUUAGCAUGGAAUAAUAAGAUAGGACUUUGGUACUAUUUUGUUGGUUUGCGCACCAAAGUAAUGAUUAAUAGGGACAGUUGGGGGUAUUCGUAUUCCGUUGUCAGAGGUGAAAUUCUUGGAUUUACGGAAGACGAACUACUGCGAAAGCAUUUACCAAGGAUGUUUUCAUUAA